CUUGAACAUUAUUAUAGAUAGAGAUAAACUGUAAACAGCAAUAAUGUUCAGCAAAGUAAUAUUUACAAAUAAGUCAACAUGACCGAAAUGGUCAAUUGACCCCCUAAGGAGUUAUUGUCCUUUCAUGAUAGUCAAUUUUUAACAAUUUUCAUAAAAUUUGUAAUUUUUUAUUAACAUUUUCCACUGAAACUACUGGGCCAAGUUCAUUAUAGAUAGAGAUAAUUGUAAGCAGCAAGACUGUUUAGUAAAGUAAGAUGUACAAACACAUCACCAUAACCAAAACACAAUUUUGUCAUGAAUCCAUCUGCUUCCUUUGUUUAAUAUUCACAUAGACCAAGGUGAGCGACACAGGCUCUUUAGAGGCUCUAGUUUAAGCAUACAAUACAAUAUGUUAUUAACGUCUCAC
rnacentral:lncRNA from 1 species